CGCAGCAGGAAGUGGCUGGUGUGCUAAGUCACAUGUCGACACCAUGAGGACAAGGAUCAACCGUGUGCUUUUGAACUCCAGGUGAGCAGCCCUGCGGUAAAAAUUCAGUAAAGGGCUGCAACAGCAACAUGGACGGGGUUACAUGACACCUGGUCUAUAUUCACAGAAGAGUGAUCCUUUCCAGUGGCGGUAAAUUACCCAGCAUUCAAGGACUAGUGGUGUGCGAGAUGCUGUUUUCUGCGUAUGUGAAUCUGCAUGACAUACUUUUAUAAAUAAAACCUUCUGUUUAACAGUC